CCCGGGAACUACGAGCCAAGCUUAAAACCCAAAGNACUUGACGGUACCCCAUAUCCCCCUAGAGGAGCCUGUCCUAUAAUCGAUAACCCCCGUUUAACCUCACCAUUUCUAGCAACUCAGCCUGUAUACCUCCGUCGUCAGCUUACCACGUGAGCGCUAGUGAGCUCAAUGUUUUUUCAACUAAACGUCAGGUCAAGGUGCAACACAUGAAAUGGGAAGAGAUGGGCUACACUUUCUAAAAUAGAUCACACGGAAGACUAACUAUGAAAUCUAGUCAGAAGG
rnacentral:rRNA from 1 species